AUGAAUAUUUAUUAAGACUAUACUUGCUCAUGCUUGCCCAGUGCCGGAAGGUAAGGAAGUUGGUAAUCUGAUCACAGGGGAGUCGAUGAUCGAAUCCCUGGUGAAUGGUGGCCAUAACUAUAAUGAUUCUAAGGUAGUGAAAUUCCUUAUCGAGUAAUUCUGACCCACUUAAAAGGCGUAACGAU
rnacentral:ncRNA from 1 species